rnacentral:rRNA from 1 species
CCUUUGUACACACCGCCCGUCGCUACUACCGAUUGAAUGGCUCAGUGAGGCCUUCGGACUGGCUCAGGAGGGUUGGCAACGACCCCCCAGAGCCGGAAAGUUGGUCAAACUCGGUCAUUUAGAGG